rnacentral:rRNA from 1 species
UGCGUAGGUGGCCCGGAAAGUUUGAUGUGAAAGCUCGGAGCUUAACUCCGAAAUGGCAUUGAAUACUACUGGGCUUGAGGGUCGGAGGGGAGACUGGAAUUCUCGGUGUAGCAGUGAAAUGCGUAGAUAUCGAGAGGAACACCAGUGGCGAAGGCGAGUCUCUGGACGACCCCUGACACUGAGGCACGAAAGCUGGGAGGCAAACA